rnacentral:rRNA from 1 species
CCUACGGGGGGCAGCAGUAAGGAAUAUUGCGCAAUGGGCGAAAGCCUGACGCAGCGACGCCGCGUGGGGGAUGAAGGUCUUCGGAUUGUAAACCCCUUUCGGGAGGGAAAAUGGGACGAGCAAUCGUUCGGAUGGUACCUCCAGAAGCAGCCACGGCUAACUUCGUGCCAGCAGCCGCGGUAAUACGAAGGUGGCAAGCGUUGUUCGGAUUUACUGGGCGUACAGGGAGCGUAGGCGGUUUGGUAAGCCCCCCGGGAAAUCUUCGGGCUCAACCCGGAAAGGUCGGGGGGAACUGCCAGGCUAGAGGAUGGGAGAGGAGCGCGGAAUUCCCGGUGUAGCGGUGAAAUGCGUAGAGAUCGGGAGGAAGGCCGGUGGCGAAGGCGGCGCUCUGGAACAUUUCUGACGCUGAGGCUCGAAAGCGUGGGGAGCAAACAGGAUUA